UUAACUCAUGGUUGUGCAUUCCUAUUGUGAGCUUAUUUGAAAGGUUACGAUCAAGUAUGUCGUGACUGUAUUAUGCAGGUUUUUUUACUAAGCUUCUGUUAACAUAAUUAUGCAGGUGGAAUUCAUUAUUGGAGAUGGCUUUGAGCUGCUCUGCUAUUAUGAAUCAAGGCUUGUGUGAAUGAGUUUUCGGUUACAUUCUGCGAGCUACAACUUGGAGAAUUACCGGGAGCUUGCCAAAAAGGACCGAUGUGAAUAUGUUAUGGAGAUUUGUAUAUUUGUAAGCUGCAGUUGUGGACUUGUUUUAUGGAAUAUGCUGAAUGUUUGUGUAUUGAAUGUUUAGAUUGAAAUGGAACUUACUUCAUUGUAUUGGGUAUGACAUCUUAAUUUUGAAUUAAUGUGUGUAAUAGGAUGUUAUUGAAUGUUGUAGGAAAUUGAUUGAAUGGGGAGUUAAUUAAAAUUAAGUGUGUAUUGAAUUGUGUUAAAUUGUAUUACUUAAUUUGACAUGAGUUAGAAAGAAACUUAAUAAAGAAGAGAUUAAUUUCAACUGGU
rnacentral:lncRNA from 1 species